CCUACGGGUGGCAGCAGUGAGGAAUAUUGGUCAAUGGGCGCGAGCCUGAACCAGCCAAGUCGCGUGAGGGAGGACGGCCCUACGGGUUGUAAACCUCUUUUGCCGGGGAGCAACGGGCGUCACGUGUGGCGCCACUGAGAGUACCCGGAGAAAAAGCAUCGGCUAACUCCGUGCCAGCAGCCGCGGUAAUACGGAGGAUGCGAGCGUUAUCCGGAUUUAUUGGGUUUAAAGGGAGCGUAGAUGGGUUGUUAAGUCAGUUGUGAAAGUUUGCGGCUCAACCGUAAAAUUGCAAUUGAUACUGGCAGUCUUGAGUACAGUUGAGGUAGGCGGAAUUCGUGGUGUAGCGGUGAAAUGCUUAGAUAUCACGAAGAACUCCGAUUGCGAAGGCAGCUUACUAAACUGCCACUGACAUUGAUGCUCGAAAGUGUGGGUAUCAAACAGGAUUAGAUACCCCAGUAGUC
rnacentral:rRNA from 1 species